CAGCAGCCGCGGUAAUACCGGCGGCCCGAGUGGCGGUCACUAUUAUUGGGCUUAAAGCGUCCGUAGCCGGGUUGGGAAGUCCUCCGGGAAAUCUGGCCGCUUAACGGUCAGAAUGCCGGAGGAUACUCCCAGCCUAGGGAGCGGGGGAGGCCGAGGGUAUUCCCGGAGGAGGGGGGAAAUCCUAUAAUCCCGGGAGGACCACCUGUGGCGAAGGCGCUCGGCUGGAACGCGUCCGACGGUGAGGGACGAAGGCCAGGGGAGCAAACCGGAUUAGAUACCCGGGUAGUCCUGGCUGUAAACGAUGCGGACUUUGUGUCGGACAAGCUAUGAGCUUGUCCGGUGCCGGAGGGAAACCGUUAAGUCCGCCGCCUGGGGAGUACGGCCGCAAGGCUGAAACUUAAAGGAAUUGGCGGG
rnacentral:rRNA from 1 species